CCCCGCGUGAGCGCGGCGCCGAGGUGAGCCCUUAGCGCCGGCCGGGGGCACAGGGGGCGCUGCCUGAGCUAGCAGGGCGGCGCGCCGCGUCCGGACCAGCUAGGACCUCAUCUGGUCGCUACGUUCUGGAAGAGGCGAGGGGGAGAGCGCGCGCGAGGAGCCGAGAGACGGAGGGCGAACGGGAGACGGCGAGCCGCGCAGCCCCGGCACCCGCGAGACCCAGGAGGAACCCGCAGGUCUGCGGCACCUCCAUCUCCAAGUCAGGGCGAGCUGACUCCGGGGCAGAGGGCUCCUGGCUGGCUGUCCUGGGCUCGUCCUGCUCAACUGGAUCUGUCGCCUUCUCUGGGUCAGCCCCCAGACGCUGAACUGAGCCCAGGGUCUACGUUGGGGUCCAGGCCACAGGAAGAGGGAUAACCAGCCCGAGUCAUGCAGUCUUUUCGAGAAAGGUGUGGUUUCCAUGGCAAACAGCAGAACUACCAGCAGACCUCACAGGAGACAUCACGCCUGGAGAGUUACAGGCAGCCAAGUCAGGCCGGGCUGAGCUGUGAUCGGCAGCGGCUGCUCACCAAGGACUAUUAUAACCAGCAGCCUUACCCAGGCUACGAGGGCAAUGCAGGCACGCCUGCUGGCUCGGCAGCCUCAGUGGUGGCUGAGAAGUACCACCGAGGCAGCAAAGCCCUGCCCUCGCAGCAGGCCCUGCAGGGGCGGCCAGCUUUCCCCAGCUACAGCGUGCAGGACAGCAGCCCAUACCCAGGCCGCUACUCGGGUGGAGAGGAGAGCCUGCAGGCCUGGGGGGCUCCACAGCCGCCACCCUCCCAGCCACAGCCCCUGCCGGGGGGCGUGGGCAAAUAUGAUGAGAGCUUGAUGAAAAAGACAGCAGUGCCCCCCAGCAGGCAGUACCCAGAACAGGGUGCCCAGCUGCCCUUUCGGACUCACCCCCUCCACGUGCAGCAGCAGCAGCAGCUACAACAGUUGCCGCAGCCUCAGCAGCCCCUGGUGUACCCAAAACUCCAGAGGCAGAAGCUGCAGAACGACAUCACCUCGCCGCUGCCCUUCCCCCAGAGCAGCCACUUUCCCCAGCACUCCCAGUCCUUCCCCGCCUCCUCCACCUACUCCCCAUCUGUGCAGGGUGGCGGGCAGGGGGCCCACUCUUACAAGAGCUGCACGGCACCGUCUGCCCCCUCCCACGACAGGCCGCUGACAGCCAACGCCAGUCUGGCCCCAGGGCAGCGGGUCCAGAACCUUCAUGCCUACGCAUCUGGCCGCCUCAGCUAUGAUCAGCAGAAGCAGCAGCAGCAACAAGCCCUUCAGAGCCGGCACCAUGCCCAGGAAACCCUCCAUUACCAAAACCUCACCAAGUACCAACACUACGGGCAGCAAGGCCAGGGCUACUGCCAGCCAGAUGCCGCCGUUCGGACUCAGGAGCAGUACUACCAGACCUUCAGCCCCAGCUCCAGCCACUCACCUGCACGCUCCGUGGGCCGCUCACCUUCCUACAGCUCUACCCCAUCGCCCCUGAUGCCAAACCUGGAGAACUUUCCCUACAACCAGCAGCCGCUUGGUACUGGGGCCUUCCCUGCUGGUAUCACCGACCAUAGCCACUUCAUGCCCCUGCUCAACCCCUCGCCAACGGAUGCCACCAGCUCUGUGGACCCUCAGGCUGGCAACUGCAAGCCUCUGCAGAAGGAUAAGCUCCCUGAGAGCCUGCUGUCGGAUCUCAGCCUGCAGAGCCUCACAGCCCUGACCUCACAGGUGGAGAACAUCUCCAACACCGUGCAGCAGCUGCUGCUUUCCAAGGCCGCCGUGCCGCAGAAGAAGGGGGUCAAGACCCUUGUAUCCAGGACCCCAGAGCAGCUCAAGAGCCAGCACUGCAGCCCUGAGGGCAGCAGCUACUUGGCUGAGCCAGUGGGCACACCACUGUCGGAGCCGCUGAGCAGCACCCCACAGUCCAUCCACGCCGAGCCCCCGGAGGUUGAUUACCUCAGUGGCUCCGAGGACCCUCUGGAUCGCAGCUUCCUCUACUGCAACCAGGCACGUGGCAGCCCUGCCAGGGUCAACAGCAACUCCAAGGCCAAGCCUGAGUCUGUGUCCACCUGCUCUGUGACUUCGCCAGAUGACAUGUCCACCAAGUCUGACGACUCCUUCCAGAGCCUCCACAGCAGCCUGCCGCUAGACAGCUUCUCCAAGUUUGUGGCAGGUGAGCGCGACUGUCCACGGCUGCUGCUCAGUGCCCUGGCACAGGAGGACCUGGCCUCUGAAAUCCUGGGGCUGCAGGAGGCCAUGGUGGAAAAGGCUGAUAAGGGCUGGGCCGAGGGGCCCAGUCUGGGCAAGGAUGUCAGCAAGCCUCCCUUCUCUCUGGAGAACCAUAGCACCUGCCUGGACCCUGGAGCCAAGAGCGGGUGGCCACGGCCAGGGGAACCAGAGGCUCUGCCUGACCCCUUGCAGCUGGACAAGGGCGGCAACACCAAGGACUUCAGCCCAGGGCUGUUUGAGGACCCCACCGUGGGCUUUGCUACUCCUGACCCCAAAAAGACGGCUGGGCCCCUCUCCUUCGGCACCAAGGCCCUCAUCGGGGCGGCCCCCACAGACCCGGCCACAGCAGCCUUCGACUGCUUCCCAGACACAGCCACCGCUGGCUCAGCAGACAGCAACAACCCCUUCGCCUGGCCAGAGGAGAACCUGGGCGACGCCUGCCCCCGGUGGGGCCUGCACUCUGGGGAACGUAACAAGGGCCUGGAGCCAGGCGGGAAGGCCUUGGAGGGCGCCAGCAAAGAGGGUGCCCAGGAGGCGCCGGCCUGCCUCAGUUUCCAGGGGGAGGAGCCCACAGGGGAGAAGGCAGCUGUGCCUGGGGACUUCAAGCAGGAGGAGGCGGGUGGGGUGAAGGAGGAGGCUGGGGGGCUCCUGCAGUGCCACGAGGUGGGCAAGGCUGACCGCUGGCUGGAGGAGAGCCGGCACUGCUGUGCUGCCGCUGACUUUGGGGACCUCCCGCUCCUACCGCCUGCCGGCAGGAAGGAGGACCUAGAGGCCGAGGAAGAGUACUCCUCCCUGUGUGAGCUCCUGGGCAGCCCCGAGCACAGGCCCAGCCUGCAGGACCCGCUGUCCCCCAAGGCCCCACUGGCCUGCACUAAGGAGGAGGUGGAGGAGGCGCUGGACGCAAAAUCUGGCUGGGCCUCGCCCUGCCACCUGUCGGGGGACUCUGUCAUCCUGCUGGGCCCCACCGUGGGCGCUGAGUCCAAGGUCCAGAGCUGGUUCGAGGCCUCCCUGUCCCACAUGAAGCCAGGCGAGGAAGGCCCUGAUGGUGAACGGGUGCCAGGGGACACCACCACCCCGGACACCUCGCUGGCCCCAAAGCUCAACAAGCCUGCUGUGCCCGAGACCCCCAUCGCCAAGAAAGAGCCCGUGCCACGGGGCAAAAGCUUGCGGAGUCGGCGGGUGCACCGGGGGCUACCCGAGGCCGAGGACCCCCCGUGCAGGGCGCCAGCCCUGCCCAAGGACCUCCUGCUCCCUGAGUCCUGUGCAGGACCCCCCCAGGGGCAGAUGGAAGGGGCAGGGGCCCCGGGGCGGGGCACCUCAGAAGGGCUCCCCAGGAUGUGCACGCGCUCCUUCACAGCCCUGAGCGAGCCCCGCACACCUGGCCCCCCGGGCCUGCCCACUACACCCGCACCCCCAGACCGGCUAGGGGGCAAGCAGCGAGCGGCCUUCAAGUCAGGCAAACGGGUGGGGAAGCCCUCGCCCAAGGCUGCAUCCAGCCCCAGCAACCCUGCUGCCCUGCCUGUGGCCUCCGACAGCAGCCCCAUGGGCUCAAAAACCAAGGAGCCGGACUCGCCUGGCACCCCAGGCAAAGACCAGCGUUCUAUGAUUCUCCGGUCCCGCACCAGAACCCAGGAGGCCUUCCAUGCCAAGCGGAGGCGGCCGACAGAGAGCCGGCUGCCCAACUGCCGCACCACCAAGAAGCUGCUCACAAACAACCACCUGCCUGCGCCCUUCAAGGCCUCUGGUGGCCCCCAGAAGGAGGGCAGGGCAGGCCAGCGGGCACGGGUCCCCAAGCCCGGCGGGAGCAUCGGUAAGUCAUCUGAGCGGCCCCUGCACGCGCUCAAGCGGAAGGCCUCCUUCAUGGCCCCGGUCCCCACCAAGAAGCGAAGCCUGGUGUUAAGGAGCAGUGGCAGCAGCGGCAGUAGCUGUGGGGGGGAUGCUCAAGAGGAGAAGACCGAGGGCACCCUCACCCUCUUCAAGAGGUUGUCUUCUCCCAAGAAAGCCAAGCUGGCCAAGGGCAGUGGUGGUGAGCCGCCUGCAAAGCCCCCACCCCCAGAGGCUCCCAGCGUCUGUAUCAAGAUGGCCUCGAGGGCUGCCUUCCAGGGGGCCAUGAAAACCAAGGUGCUGCCCCCCCGCAAGGGCCGGGGACUGAAGCUGGAGGCCAUCGUGCAGAAGAUCACCUCGCCCAGCCUCAAGAAGUUCGCGUGCAAAGUGGCACCUGGGGCCGCGCUUGCUGACCCCCUGAGCCCAGCCCUCCCCGAGAAGGAGCGGGGGCUCAAGAGCACGGGAGGCAGCCCUGCAGGGGCAGAAGAAGGGCUGUUAACCACGGGUGUGGGGCAGAAGCUCCCAGCAGCUCUGGGGGCUGACCCUUUAUGCAGAAGUCCGAACAACAGAUCCUUAAAAGGCAAACUCGUGAACAGUAAGAAACUGUCCUCAACCGACUGUUUCAAAACUGAGGCCUUUACAUCCCCAGAGGCCCUGCCACCCGGAGGGACCACCCUGGCUCCUAAGAAGAGAAGCAGGAAGGGCAGGGCUGGAGCACUGGGACUCCCCAAAGGCCCUCUGGAUAAACGGCCCCACCUGGGCCCAGCUCUGCUCCCGACCCCACGGGACAGGGCCAACAGCACGCAGGGAGGUGAUGAGGACAUUUCUGGUGGAGGAGGCAAAAAGCCAAAGAUGGAGGAGCUGGGCCUGGUCUCCCAGUCCCCCGAGGGCCCACCCUGCCAGCCCCAGACUAGGGCACAGAAGCAGCCAGGCCAUGUAAACUACAGCAGCUAUUCCAAGCGGAAGCGGCUCACGCGAGGCCGGGCUAAGAAUGCCACCUCCUCACCCUGCAAGGGGCGUGCCAAACGUAGGCGGCAGCAGCAGGUGCUGCCCCUGGAUCCUGCAGAACCUGAAAUCCGCCUCAAGUACAUUUCCUCCUGCAAACGGCUUCGGGCUGACAGCCGGAUCCCAGCCUUCUCACCCUAUGUGCGGGUGGAGAAGCGAGACGCUUUCACUACCGUAUGCACUGUUGUCAACUCCCCUGGGGAGGAGCCCAAGCCCCAUAGGAAGCCUUCCUCCUCCACCUCCUCCUCUUCCUCCUCAUCCUCCUUCUCUUUGGACGCCGCUGGAGCCUCCCUGGCCACGCUCCCUGGAGGCUCUGUUUUGCAGCCACGGCCCUCCCUGCCCCUCUCCUCCACCAUGCACCUGGGGCCCGUGGUCUCCAAGGCCCUUAGUACCUCUUGCCUUGUUUGCUGCCUCUGCCAAAACCCGGCCAACUUUAAGGACCUCGGGGACCUCUGCGGCCCCUACUACCCUGAACACUGCCUCCCCAAAAAGAAGCCAAAACUCAAGGAGAAGGUGCGGCUGGAGGGCGCCUGCGAGGAGGCCUCACUGCCCCUAGAGAGAACACUCAGAGGCCUUGAGUGUGCAGUUGCUGCCACCGCUGGAAAGCCCCCCAGGCCUGAUGGCCCAGCUGACCCAGCCAAGCAGGGCUCACUGCGCACCAGUGCCCGGGGCCUGUCCAGGCGACUGCAGAGUUGCUACUGCUGUGAUGGCCAGGGGGAUGGUGGUGAGGAGGCGGCCCCAGCUGACAAGAGUCGCAAGCAUGAGUGCAGCAAGGAGGACUCGGCGGAGCCCAGCGGGGGCACCCAGGAGCACUGGGUGCACGAGGCCUGUGCUGUGUGGACAGGCGGGGUCUACCUGGUGGCCGGGAAGCUCUUUGGGCUGCAGGAGGCCAUGAAGGUGGCCAUGGACAUGACAUGUUCCAGCUGCCAAGAAGCCGGGGCCACCAUUGGGUGCUGCCACAAAGGAUGCGUCCACACCUACCAUUACCCGUGUGCCAGCGAUGCCGGUAAGAGCCAGCCCGCAGAGGCAGGAAGGGUCCUGAAGGCCUGUCAUGCAGACCAGGAGGACCCUGAGCACAGCUCCUUGAGUCCAGGCCCCAUGUGACCCCUUGGCUUUCCUUCUCUCUUGCCCCAGAGGUUCUUUAUCUCCUUGCCUCUUCUUUACCUGGGCCUGCACUGGGCAAUGCCAGGGACAGAAGAUGAGUCAGUCCCCAGACCCCCUUUUGAAGAAUGACCAGUCUGAUGGGGGAGACCGGGCGUACGUUAUAAAAUGGAGAGCUGUUCAAGAAGCUGUCAUUGCCAAGGGGUGGGCAGGAUCUCUGGCCUCAGAAAGGAAGGCGUACUGGGGCUGGGCCUUUGAAGGAUGAGUAGGAGUUCCCUGGGCAGAGAAGAAGGGAAGGGAUAGCAAAAACAGAAUGAAGUGGAAGGAGAUGAGAUUCGGAAGAGCAACUGAGGCCAAGUUAUCUUUUGAUGAUGGAGAACAGGUAUGGAAUGUUUAAGCAGGGUGAUAGGGUCUAAAGACGGGACCAGGCUCCCCUGGAGCCUCUCACCCAUUCUCUACUCUAACUCAUUUGUUGAGCACCUACUAUUGCCAGGCAUGCAGAAUGACAGACUGCAAGGGCUAGAGAGAUCUGAGAGCCUCAACCCUCAUCACCUAGGUGGGGAGAGCAAGGCUCAAAGACAAUUCUUACUUCAUCCAAAGGAAGAAAUUGGUUACCUUGGCCUUUUAGUCAUCCAUGAUGGAGUUAUUUUAGGUUUAGGGGCAGCUUUUACAUGGAUUCAACCCCUGGUGGCAGUCUUACUGUGUGGCCUUGAGCAAGUCUCUACACAGUUUCCCCAUCCGUAAAAUGGGGAUUAUAAUAAUCUCUUCUUGGAGCUAUUUGGAACAGGGAGUGGAAUAAUAAACACACAAGUCUUUGGCCAUAUGGGGGUCCCAGGGAAUGCAGCCUCAGCCCACCUGACCUCUGUCUCCCUUGUCUCCCUCCCUGUGCUCACCCCAUGCCCCACCAGGUGAGUUACCUAGAUGUGGACAGAGAGCUAGGGGGUGGGAGGCUCCAGCUCCCUCCACCCCUCCCUCUGAGCUGAAAGAGGGAUGACAUGCUCAUGACCCUGCUUCGUGGAUGGAGAAGACGAGGCCAUGUCACUCUCCCAAGGCCAGCAGGACCCUCCCACUGCCUAGAGACCAGCUGCCUCUCCUCCCGACCUGGUGCACACUCCUGCUGUGCUGGGCAGGGGACUGCUUCCUGUCCCUACUUGCCUGCCUGGUCCUGGCUGGCACCCGCCCCUCCCCAAGCCAGGCUUUGAGUGGUGACAGCUCCGUGGAGGGCUGAGCCAACAGCUGGCUCCCCUGUCCACCCCACAAGCGUGGAAAACCAGAUUUUAAUCUGGACUCAGCUACUUAACAAGACACAUGGCCUCACAACUAAUUAACAGCUACCAUGGGCUGUAGUUUUCACCCUGCUGUGAUUUUUUUAGCACCUUCUUUGUGUCGUGCCCUAUGUAGGCACCUGCGUUACCUCCACUUGCUCCUUUGCAGGGAAGUUGCCUCAUCCAAGGUCCACACAGCAUCGCCUGGGCAUAACCAGGGUGUGGUCCCACAUCCUUAUUCCAUACCCCAUGCUCUUGCUCCUACCCCAAUAUUGUCCAGCCCCCUAAGGGGCUCACAUUUGAGUGGGACACACAGGGAGAACCUGAUUCUUGCCUGAUGCAGACCAGACAGGGAGAAUGUGUGCUGUGAGAGAUUCAUCCUGCCUGAGCUAGAGGCAAUCCCAGAAGACUUCUAGGAGGAGGUGACAUUUGAGCCAGGCCUUGAAAGACCAGAGGACAGAAGGGGUGGGCAGUGGCUGAUUAGUGUUGGGACUUGUACAUCAGGCUUUUGCAACAGAACUUUUGUUAUAAAUCAGAUUCUGGAAGUAUUCCCCAUAUAACAGAGACCUCCAUAAAGACACUGGAUUGAAGUAGGAGGGGGGCCCAAGGCUAGAGAGGCAAGGCACUGACCGAGAUCAGAACUGUGUGUAAGAAAGAGCUGAUGGGACUACUGUAACAGUUCAGGCAAGAGAUGAUUCAGACUCAUAGCAACCCUAAAGGACAGAGUAAAACUGCCCCAUUGGGUUUCCAAGGAGCUCCUGGUGGAUUCGAACUGCCGACUUUUUGGUUAGCAGCUGUAUCUCUUUAACUACUAUGCCACUAGGGUUUCUGUGGCUUAAAUAGCAGCCCUUUAUUAUUUCUUAUGGUGGGAGAGUGGGCUUCUUUCUGCCAAGCUCACUCUUGGGCUGUAGUGUGCUGUUGGGCCCACUGGUUCAGGAUGAUCCAGAAUGACGUCAGCUGAGCAUGGCCUCUGCUGCACGUGGUCACUCACACUCCACAAGCCAGCAUAUCCUCAUGGCCUCGGCGGGCUCAGAAGUGGCCAGAGUUACAAGGCCUAGGCUGGGAACUGACAGAACGGCUCUUCCAAAGCAUUCUAUCUGCCAAAGUUAGUCUCAAGACCAGCCCAGAUCCAAGUGGUGGAAAACAGAUCCCAAUUCCUGAUGGGCGGGUAGUGGGGGCGGGGGCGGUUUCACAGUUCCAUUGCAAAAAGGCUCGGCUACAGGAGGGGGAGAAUUGGGGCUGUUUUAGCAGUGCAGUCACAGAGGGCAGGUUCCCUUUGGACACACGGGGCAUGGUCACAGCCAGGUUCUAGAGAGACUCACCAGCACCAGCAGGUGGGGGGGGCCAUCAGGGGAGCAGGGGGAGAGAGGGCACCGUCAUUUUACAGCCUGCAGCGGUGGAGGAGUUGAAGGGGGACCACUGGCAAACCGAGGAGCUGAAGCCAAAGAAGGUUGCAUAUUCAUGGAAGAGAACUUUUCUUUGAAAUGUCCCAAGCAUAAGAGGCUGCCGUUGUAACCACCCUCAACGGCUGGGGGAGCCGCUGGAGCCCGCCCGCCCUCCUGCCGCUGAAGGAAAGGAGCCGCCUGCGGGUCCGGAGCCGAUCCUUGAUCCGGAUCCCGGAUCUUGGAUCCGGCCGCCUGGGGCUGAGACUUGUAGCCCCUGGUUGGGCAGAAAAUUCCUUCCGAAGCCGCCUGCUCCAAGGAACUGGACGGCACGGGGCGCUCUCGCCUACUAACCCGGAGCCGGGCUUGGAGGGGAGCUUGCGGAGCGGCCAGACUCCUUGGGGCACCCAAGCUCCGGUGGGUCUGGGAGACGGCUCUGGCCUGGGGACGCGCCUCCCCCCGGAAGUUCUGAGACGAAGUGGCACGCACCUAUAUGGGUGCUGACGCCACCCCAGUCAGUCGUGGCGCGCAGCUGGGCGAACUGGGGGGCUCAAGGGGCCCUGGGGGAGGGAGAGGGAGGCUCCUGCCUCCGUAAGUGAGGCGGGGGAAAGCCGGAGCCUUUUCCAGUGAGCGCUAGGCCGGCGGGGGAGGGGGCCGGAGCCUCUGGAACUAAACGUUUGGAACGCGCCCUUCCCACUCAGCGUUUGCCUAAGCUUUCGUGCGGGCCCCGGGGAGCCCGGCACCCAUGCUCAGGGGAUGCCGGCUCCCCGCGUGGGACCGGACUGGGGUACCCCUUUGGCUUCUGUUCGUCCUUUCCCAGUCCUCCACCCCAGCCCUGGAGCCAAGCCUAGGAGGAGCCCAAAAGGAAAGAGACCCUGCCAGAGCGCACCUUUGGCGGAUGCGGCCAUCGUUCCUCUGCACGACUACCGUCUCCGGGGACCGCAACACCCACUCAGCACGGGAGCAGGGACAGCGCUAGAUUUGUGUACAAAACCUGUGUACCCCUCUAUAUAUGUUACAUAGAAUGUAUAUAUGUUGGGAACAUGCUCGCUUUUCCAGUGUGUCGCUGCUGUGCGUCGUGCGCCCUGCUGCACGGAGCCCCAACCAGGCCCUUGCGGGGGAUGGGGCUGCCGCGAUGCCCCUUCCCUACGCAGUCACCACCCGCCUGGGCCAGCCCCUGCCAGUCCGUCUGCCUGUCAAUCUGUGUCCUCAGUUCUGUCCACGCUUCGAUAGGCCUGACGCAGCUCCCAGACCGGGCCGCCCUAGUGACUUGUACAUAUGACUGUAAAAUGGUAAACGUGUGUAUUAUAUCUGGCCUCGUUAUAUAGUGUAUAUAUAUGUAUACAUAUACAUAUAUAUAAUAUAUAUGAAGACUGUAAAUGUUAAGACGACUAGUGUUCUUAUUAGUAUAUUGCUUCACACUGAAGAUUGUGUGUAUCGAGCUGUUUCUAAAAGAUGUUUAUUUUCCUUAAGAGUAAAAAAACAGUCAUUGCAUUCAGAAAAAAAAGAAGUCAAUAAAGAUACAACGAUUGUUUUGGAA